rnacentral:rRNA from 1 species
GUCCACGCCCUAAACGAUGUCAACUAGGUGUUGGGGGAGCGAUUUCUCAGUACCGUAGCUAACGCGCGAAGUUGACCGCCUGGGGAGUACGGCCGCAAGGUUAAAACUCAAAGGAAUUGACGGGACCCGCACAAGCGGUGGAUGAUGUGGAUUAAUUCGAUGCAACGCGAACAACCUUACCUACCCUUGACAUGUCCGGAACCCUGCUGAGAGUGGGGUGCCUGAAAGGGAAUCGGAACACAGGUGCUGCAUGGCUGUCGU